rnacentral:rRNA from 1 species
UACGAAGGGGGCUAGCGUUGCUCGGAAUCACUGGGCGUAAAGGGUGCGUAGGCGGGUCUUUAAGUCAGGGGUGAAAUCCUGGAGCUCAACUCCAGAACUGCCUUUGAUACUGAGAGGCUCGAGUUCGGGAGAGGUGAGUGGAACUGCGAGUGUAGAGGUGAAAUUCGUAGAUAUUCGCAAGAACACCAGUGGCGAAGGCGGCUCACUGGCCCGGUACUGACGCUGAGGUGCGAAAGCGUGGGGAGCAAACAGG